rnacentral:tRNA from 1 species
CAGGGCGUCGCCGACCGGGUGGGCGCCGACCGCCAGCGUCGGAGCCGUGAGCCUCGCCGUGGCGACGGCCUGCUCGAUCCGGGCCGCGCUCUC